UGGUGAAAAGAACACAGAGUGGAUUGGAUUGGAACGAUACAGAGAAGAUUAGCAUGGCCCCUGCACAAGGAUGACAUGCAAAUUUGUGAAGCGUUCCAUAUUUUU